GAUGAACGCUAGCGGCAGGCCUAACACAUGCAAGUCGAGGGAGAAGCCCUUUCGGGGGCAGAAACCGGCGCACGGGUGCGUAACGCGUAUGCAACCUACCUUUCACAGGGGGAUAGCCCGAAGAAAUUUGGAUUAAUACCCCAUAAUAUUAUUGGAUGGCAUCAUUUGAUAAUUAAAACUGCGGUGGUGAAAGAUGGGCAUGCGUCCUAUUAGCUAGUUGGAGUGGUAACGGCACCCCAAGGCUACGAUAGGUAGGGGUCCUGAGAGGGAGAUCCCCCACACUGGUACUGAGACAGGGACCAGACUCCUACGGGAGGCAGCAGUGAGGAAUAUUAGUCAAUGGUCGGAAGACUGAACCAGCCAUGCCGCGUGCAGGAAGAAUGCCUUAUGGGUUGUAAACUGCUUUUAUAUGGGAAGAAUAAGGCGUACGUGUACGUUGAUGACGUUACCAUAUGAAUAAGCAUCGGCUAACUCCGUG
rnacentral:rRNA from 1 species